GAGAUGUUAGCCCACCCAACACAGGGAGGGGCCAUUUCUUGAGGGGCCACCACAUAAUGGGCCUUGCUGCCAAGAACCUCCAUAUAUUAUCUCAUUUAAUUCUUACUGUGGGACGUGGACACUGAGGUAAAUGGCAGCCACACGAUGAUGCACAUUACUGGAGCAUUUUCAGACAAUCAGGGCUGGACUCUGUAAUGCCUAUGAGAAGAGACAUGAAAACUGUUUUUCUAAGGAAGUUUCCAUCGUGGGGCACUGGGUAUGUUUUUAAUCUAAUAAAAAAUACCUAAUGGCAGA